rnacentral:rRNA from 1 species
UACGUAGGGGGCAAGCGUUGUCCGGAAUCAUUGGGCGUAAAGCGCGCGUAGGCGGCCCGGUAAGUCCGCUGUAAAAGUCCAGGGCUCAACCCUGGAAAGCCGGUGGAUACUGUCGGGCUAGAGUCCGGAAGAGGCGAGUGGAAUUCCUGGUGUAGCGGUGAAAUGCGCAGAUAUCAGGAAGAACACCAAUGGCGAAAGCAGCUCUCUGGGACGGUACUGACGCUGAGACGCGAAAGCGUGGGGAGCGAACAGG